rnacentral:rRNA from 1 species
GAUGAACGCUGGCGGCGUGCCUAAUACAUGCAAGUCGAGCGAACGGACGAGAAGCUUGCUUCUCUGAUGUUAGCGGCGGACGGGUGGGUAACACGUGGAUAACCUACCUAUAAGACUGGGAUAACUUCGGGAAACCGGAGCUAAUACCGGAUAAUAUUUUGAACCGCAUGGUUCAAAAGUGAAAGACGGUCUUGCUGUCACUUAUAGAUGGAUCCGCGCUGCAUUAGCUAGUUGGUAAGGUAACGGCUUACCAAGGCAACGAUGCAUAGCCGACCUGAGAGGGUGAUCGGCCACACUGGAACUGAGACACGGUCCAGACUCCUACGGGAGGCAGCAGUAGGGAAUCUUCCGCAAUGGGCGAAAGCCUGACGGAGCAACGCCGCGUGAGUGAUGAAGGUCCUCGGAUCGUAAAACUCUGUUAUUAGGGAAGAACAUAUGUGUAAGUAACUGUGCACAUCUUGACGGUACCUAAUCAGAAAGCCACGGCUAACUACGUG